rnacentral:rRNA from 1 species
ACAACUUUCAACAACGGAUCUCUUGGUUCCCCCAUCGAUGAAGAACGCAGCGAAUUGCGAUAAGUAAUGUGAAUUGCAGAUCAUGGUGAAAUCAUCGAGUUCUUGAGCGCACAUUGGCCCCUAGUUAUCUGGAGGGCAUGUCUGUUUGAGCGUCGUUU